UGAUACAUUAUUUUCAACUCAUUAAGAUACAUAAUUUUCACCUACAAACACUAUUUUCAACACAUUCACAUACAGAACUGAUACCUACCAACACUAUUUUCAACACAUUAUGAUACAUAAUUAAUACCUACUACAAGAUGCAUUGAUCGUUCUACAUCCCAAAUCAUCUCAUAUUCACGGUUAAGAUUCAAUUUUCUCUUCUCCAUUCUACUUCUAAUGUUACUUCUUCUUUGUUUUCCAAACCCCAUUAAAUCCCUAAAAUGAUGCCAUACACUCACACCACUAGAUGGGCAAAGCAGGGUUACAAUGACCAACACAUGAAGGUUCUUGGAAUUUUAAGAAAAGACAACAAGCAAGCACAAUGCAAAAAAAAAAAAAAUUAGGAACAACCAACAGCUAUGAAUCUAC
rnacentral:lncRNA from 1 species